AUGCACAAAUCAUUGUCCUGCUCUUCUCUUUUUAGAGUAAUGAUAUUUCUUUUGUGCUAGAACAAAAUGGAGGUAAAUUAACAGUACUGGCUACAUGUGCCACUACUGCCAGUCCCCUUCACACAAUC